UGUUGUGACUCUGGUUUCAGUGUCUGCCUCGGAGCGAGCAGGUCAGAGCGCAAGUGUUCACUGGAGGAGGGAAAAACGAGAGAAAACCAGGGAGGGAGGGAGAAGGCAAGCGGCGGCACUUCUCCCCCCUUUCAAGCCUCCCCGUUUCCCUGUCACUCCAUCCUUCCACCCACCCUCUCCUGGACCACGCUGCAGCCUGGCUUCAAGACCACCCCUCACCACCUAAACCACCCCAGGACCCUUUGACUCUCCCCACUUCUCCAUCCCACCGGCCACAACCCAUAGGGAUUCUUUUCUGGUUCUCACCAGAGCUGACUGAAGAUCUCACCUGCACAGAAUCUUCUGAGCCCAGCUGUCAACAUUAAUCUGGUUAAAAUCCACCUCAGCURCACGUGUGCAACAAA